GUGCAGUUAGGGUUUAGGUUGCAGUCUCGUUCUUUUUUGCAUUAUUAGUUGUGCAGUAGCACGUCUCUGCUUCUUAUACAAAUUGGUGAUCCAAAUCUACUGUCAAGUAUUGCACAAUCUGCUGUCAUUAUUGGAGGUGCUCUGCUUCAUUUCUGUUGUCCAUUUGGAAUUUCGUGCAAACAAUUAUAUAAACUGUUUAUAAAACUAUAUCUCUUCGAAAUUUGAUUUGUUAGCAUCUUCUUGGAUAACAAAUCUUAAAAAUUUCAGCACAGUAUUGUUCUAAGCAUCAUUAAAGUACUCCCUAUGUUUUAUAAUAUCUGUCCCUUCUCUUGCAAGCUGCCCUUUGAAAGUAGUUGUCCAUGGAGGAAAACAAGAGUGUGGUUAAUAUAUCCACCCUACCCCUAAGGUUAAAUGAUUGGUCAUCUCUCUUUUUUCCUUAGACUUAGUGCUUCAUUGGUUUGUGUGCAUUGUUGUUACAAACAUAUAUUUUGAAAAGGAGUGAGUAAUUAUUUUAGUUUCAUUUACCAUUUCUCAUCAGUAGGGUCAUGAAGAACUGAUAUGAUUUGCAAACCAAUACUUAUCAGCAAUGUUAUGUAUUUGGAUUUAUGUACUAAAUGUUUUUAUAUGUGUUGAAACUGACCUUUUUGUCAGCAUUUGCGAUUUUUUAGUUGAGGGACCAUUGGACUGUAGUUUGGUUGAAAUGAGGAGUCACUGUCAUGGUAUUUUGCGCUUUGGUCAUAGUUUUUCCAGUUAAUAGUUUUAGUUAAUUAACUGUCCUUUUUCUCAAGACUUGGUUAUGUGACAAUACCCCAGAUGACUGUAAUGAGUUGCACCAGUUCUGAGAUUUAUAAGCUAUUCAUACUUUCAGUCUCGUGUCUUGAACCUUUUCUUUUACUAUUUAUAUAUGAGGCUUUUUUUUAUUCACCUGUGGGGUUUCAUUCAUGACAAAUUAAAUGGGUGUAAUGUUUGAACCUGACUAACUAUGUGAUCAGCAUAAAUUGUCAAAGGGCUUUGUGUUAUUGUUUUUCUUUUGCAUCAGAGUAAGUGCUAAGAAAUGUCGAAUAUCUUAUCUUCAUGUGGAGAUAAGCAUAUUAUGAUAGAUCCAUAAGUCCACAGAAUGAUUUAGAGAGUAUUAUUCCAUCAAAUCAUUGUCCAAGCAGACAUUUUCGUCUUUUAUGGAUACAAGCUAAACAUGUUUACAUGAGAUCUGAACUUCUUGCUUACAGGCCUAUCCUUAUUUUACCUCGAGUGUAAGAUUGGGACCACCUUAAAUCUUCUAUUCCGAUUGUUUUAACUCUUGGUCUUACCGGCAUGACUUUCUUUGGUGGGUGGAACUACUUUAAAUCUUCAUUUCAGUAACCCUGAUACUAGAAGCCUUACUAACAUUUGAAGCUUCCACAAGCGACAACUCUGCAGAUUGGGAUCACCUUAAAUCUUCUAUUCCGAUGGUUUUAACUCUUGGUCUUACUGGCAUGGCUUUCUCUGGUGCGGAUGUUGGUGGAUUCUUUGGAAAUCCGGAACCUGACCUAUUGGUGCAUUGGUACCAAGUGAGAGCAUUUUAUCCUUUCUUUAGAGGUCACGCUCAUCAUGACACCAGGAGACGUGAGCCAUGGUUGUUUGGAGAGAGAAAAACUGCCCUCUUAAGGGAGGCAAUACAUAUGCGGUAUUCACUGUUGUAUAGAUAUUGCGAGGAGGACGAGAAGCAUGAAGACGAGGUCGGCGAGAAGGACGCUAAGGUGUGGGCUCGGCAUCUUCCACUCUGCCGUCACCGAGGUCAGGCGCUUCGUUUCCCCCUUUGAAUUUUGUGGCCAUCUCUGAUCUUAGUGUGAUACUGCAUGAGCUGCAAAUCUGCAACCGAUGGCCCU